rnacentral:rRNA from 1 species
AGGACGAACGCUGGCGGCGCGCUUAACACAUGCAAGUCGAGCGAGAACCCACCUUCGGGUGGGGGAAAGCGGCGAACGGGUGAGUAACACGUGGGCAACCCACCCUUGGUAUCGGGAUAGCCCGGGGAAACCCGGAUUAAUACCGGAUGGCCCAGCAGCUCUUCGGGGCGGCUGGAAAAGGUAGCUUCGGCCUCCGACCAAGGACGGGCCCGCGGCGGAUUAGCUUGUUGGUGGGGUAACGGCCUACCAAGGCGACGAUCCGUAGCUGGUCUGAGAGGACGAUCAGCCACACUGGGACUGAGACACGGCCCAGACUCCUACGGGAGGCAGCAGUGGGGAAUCUUGCGCAAUGGGCGAAAGCCUGACGCAGCGACGCCGCGUGGGGGAAGAAGGUUUUCGGAUCGUAAACUGCUUUUCUCUGGGACGAGAACGGACGGUACCAGAGGAAUAAGCCCGGCUAACUACGUGCCAGCAGCCGC